ACGAUUACAUCAUGUUGAAACACCGGUUCCCGUACGAUCACAGAAGUUAAGCAGCGUCGAGAUUCGUCAAUAUCGAGAUGGGUGACCGCUUGGGCAUACCAGGUGCUGUAAG